rnacentral:rRNA from 1 species
AAUUUUGGACAAUGGGGGAAACCCUGAUCCAGCCAUCCCGCGUGUAUGAUGAAGGCCUUCGGGUUGUAAAGUACUUUUGGCAGAGAAGAAAAGGUAUCUCCUAAUACGAGAUACUGCUGACGGUAUCAGUAGAAUAAGCACCGGCUAACUACGUGACAGCAGCCGCGGUAAUACGUAGGUUGCACGCGUUAAUCGGAAUUACUGGGCGUAAAGCGUAUGUAGGCGGUUCGGGAAGCAAGAUGUGAAAUCCCAGGGCUCAACCUUGGAACUGCAUUUUUAACUGCCGAGCUAGAGUAUGUCAGAGGGGGGUAGAAAUCCACGUGUAGCAGUGAAAUGCGUAGAUAUGUGGAGGAAUACCGAUGGCGAAGGCAGCCCCCUGGGAUAAUACUGACACUCAGACACAAAAGCGUGGGGAGCAAACA